GACGAACGCUGGCGGCGUGCCUAAUACAUGCAAGUCGAACGCAGUGGGGACGGGUGAGUAACACGUGGGUAACCUCCCAUCAGAGGGGAUAACACGUGGAAACAGGUGCUAAACCGAUAUCGAUGGAGGGACCAGCGGUGCAUUAGCUAGUGGGUGAGGUAACGGCUCACCAAGGCCACGAUGCAUAGCCGACCGUGUAGGGUGAUCGGCCACACUGGUACUGAGACACGGCCCAGACUCCUACGGGAUGCAGCAGUAGGGAAUCUUCGGCAAUGAACGAAAGUCUGACCUAGCAACGCCGCGUGAGUGCAGAAGGUUUUCGGGUCGUAAAACUCUGUUGUUAGAGCAGCGGUAUCUAACCAGAAAGCCACGGCUAACUACGUGCCAGCAGCCGCGGUAAUUC
rnacentral:rRNA from 1 species